rnacentral:rRNA from 1 species
UACGGAGGGGGCUAGCGUUAUUCGGAAUUACUGGGCGUAAAGCGCACGUAGGCGGCUUUGUAAGUCAGAGGUGAAAGCCUGGAGCUCAACUCCAGAACUGCCUUUGAGACUGCAUCGCUUGAAUCCAGGAGAGGUGAGUGGAAUUCCGAGUGUAGAGGUGAAAUUCGUAGAUAUUCGGAAGAACACCAGUGGCGAAGGCGGCUCACUGGACUGGUAUUGACGCUGAGGUGCGAAAGCGUGGGGAGCAACAGG